UACGUAGGUGGCAAGCGUUGUCCGGAUUUACUGGGCGUAAAGGAUGCGUAGGCGGAUAUAUAAGUCAGAUGUGAAAUACCCGGGCUCAACUUGGGUGCUGCAUUUGAAACUGUAUAUCUAGAGUGCGGGAGAGGUAAGUGGAAUUCCUAGUGUAGCGGUGAAAUGCGUAGAGAUUAGGAAGAACACCAGUGGCGAAGGCGACUUACUGGACCGUAACUGACGCUGAGGCAUGAAAGCGUGGGGAGCAAACAGG
rnacentral:rRNA from 2 species